rnacentral:rRNA from 1 species
UACGUAGGGGGCAAGCGUUGUCCGGAAUCAUUGGGCGUAAAGCGCGUGUAGGCGGCUCGAUAAGUCUGCUGUGAAAGUCAAGGGCUCAACCCUUGAAUGCCGGCCGAUACUGUCAGGCUAGAGUCCGGAAGAGGCGAGUGGAAUUCCUGGUGUAGCGGUGAAAUGCGCAGAUAUCAGGAGGAACACCUAUGGCGAAGGCAGCUCGCUGGGACGGUACUGACGCUGAGACGCGAAAGCGUGGGGAGCGAACAGG